UCUUUAUAAGCCUUCAAACCUUGAUAGAGGCAUUAUUAAAAAUGCCUCUAAAAUCAACUCAUACAUACAGAAAUUUGCUAGUAAUUAAUAUCAAAAAGCACAAAUCCAUCGAGAAAUUAACCAAUGAAAGCACAUGUUAACAGUACAAUCCAAACAUUUAAAUCUUUACAUACACAGUUAUAUUUGUAACCAAACACAAUCAAUAAGGUAGAAAAACAAUCAAAUAUCUAUCUUCAAAUGGUGUUUCCAUGUCCUUUUGUUUAGGUCCCUAAUCCUGAAUGAUGCAAACGGAAGUAGUGGAAACAAAAGAUGUAGACAGAGAAGUAGAGGAACAGAGCUUCCAUGAAUCAGAUCACCCAUAGCUGAUAUAUCUCUGAAUCAAGUUGAUUAAACGAGCACCAGUAUCAUCAGUUUUAAGACUGAGAAAUAAUAAAGUUGUCUGCAAUGAAAACAAAAAGGUUAGUGCUAAAUAAUCUCCAAGACAAAUAAUUUAGGUAGGACCAGUCAUAAAUAAUCCUUCUUCUCUACCAUAUUACCCAAUUUAAAUCUUUGGUAGUGAAACUUGUGAACUACCCUACUACAAGCAGACCAAUAGAUAAAAUCAGUAAUAACAAUGUUUUUUUAAUACUGUAAACCAGUAUUUAGUGCAUUUGCAUUUGUUGAAUGCUUGCUUGCUUUAUUCAGGAUAAAUAAACUCAAUUAGAGACAUAACGGAAUGAUCGUAGACUUCCCCAAUGAUGAAAGAGCUCUGACCUGGAGAAAAACAUUUGUGGCCUGAAGAGUAGACUUUGUAUCAUGCUUACAGUGACCUCGGGUCCUUGAGCCCUCUUGUUUCAGAAAAAAGGGGAGAAGAGAUCAAAUAACCUUAGGCUGGCAUAUCUCAUCUGACUAAUGCUUAUGUGUCACUGCCAAUUACAUGCUGCAAAUGGUGAACUAAGUGAGUUUCAAUGCAUAGUGCAUGUCAGAAAUUAAAGCUCCAAACUAUAAUAAAGAUAGAUAUUGAAAAUUAAUAUUGUGAUUAUAUAUAUCAUUUGGUUAUAUCUAAGAAAAUUACAAUUAUAUUAGUCAACAGGCUCAGUCAAAUGAAUAUUAUCAACUGUCGAAUUACCAUAAAACUACCACUAAAUCACAUCGGGUACCUGAACAUCACCUCAACAGUUGAUAUCAGAAAACUAGCGGUCCCUAAUAUUGACCAAGUAACUAAAAUAUAAGUACAACAAGACUGAUAGCAAUCAAGCUUAGCGUUACUCUACCGAGUGAAACGUCCACGGAGAAAGUAGUAAUAGGCAGCAAAACAUUUUGUAGCAAUACUGCAUGGUAAGUGCCAGCGUCAAUGACCUAUGCUGCGGCGUGCCGAUUACGUAGCACCACUAGCUGUAGAGAACAUAUGGAUCUGGAUCUCAAUGAGGACGGGCGGGUGAAGGUAGAUUGAUGGAGGAUGUCAGAAAUUCUUAUUACCUUGAACGCAUUUUAUCGAACAUGUGUUGGGUGUAAUCCAUGUGUGGAGGAAAACCUGAGGAAAUGGCGUAGCGGACACGGCGUAAGCGCUUCAGAAUCUCGACGUACCUAGCAAUCUCCCCGUGCCGCUGCAGUUGCGCUGUGCUCCACGCGCAGCCUGACGCAGCCACGCCGUCCUCUGUGCGCCGCUCGACGCAACCACGGUGCCUCUCCACAGCUGCGUCGUCCUCCCCGCGCCGCCUGUGCAGUCGCACCGCGUACCCACAACUGUGUCGUCCUCCCCGCGCCGCCUGACACAGUCAUGCCCCGCGCCCACCUCAGGCAGGCGUGACUCCAAAUCAUGAGCCUAGCGGCCGCCGCCUCCAUCUCUUGCGAAUUUGGGGAACGAGCGAGGUGGUGUACACAGGUGCUGCCUCUCCCAUAUGUUUGUUUUUUUAUUUGAGUAUUUGAGAAGGUCCCGAUUCGUGCGUGACUAUGUGCAGCCUGAGCAAUAGUAGUACAGUUAAGGGCCAAAUGCCUCUCCGUGUAUGGAUGAAACGAAUGCGGCGUUCAGAAAAACGCCUCCAAUGCUACAGGAAUUUAAGGGUGUGAUUGGUUGCUCCUUGGUCUGCCAUCCGGGAUGGAGGGUCUGUGUAGGCUCAAACCAUUCCAGAUUAGACCAUGCACCUUCGUCUGUUUGGUUGCAAAUGAGUGUAGCAUACUGGAUCAUAGGAACCGUGUUUGGUUGCUUGUCUGGACAGUUUUGUGGUAUGACUUGGUGUGACCAGCUGUGUUUGGUUUGGUGCAUGACAUAAGGUGUGAGCACACAUGUAUGAUUUUGGUGAGGUUACCACUAUAGUCACCAGCGAGAACAAAGACUGAACCAUAGCAAUAAAUAAUGUAGUAUUGAACAAAUUGGCCUCAGAUAUCAGAUGCUCCUUGGUUGACCUUGAUCUUGGAGCAUAAGAAACAAAGUUUCAGUACCUCAACACAAGCUCAAGGUCAUCAAUUUUUGGUAACACAGUUGACAUGCAAAUAAGAUAUCAUCAUUGGCAAUUCGAUAGCACCAAAGUCCAUUCACUGCACAAAAAUGUAAGGGAAGAAACAACACAUCAUUGCAAAGUGCCAUAGGUCUCAGUGCUUAUUACGGGGGUGAUUGGUUGCCCCAGAAAUUCACCAAUGCUACUUAUCAGUACAGAUUAGAGGAUGCAAGCAAAAGUUCAGCCAUCACAAGAUAAACAAGGCGCGGCUGCCACACUCAAAGGUGCUCCUCCAGCGCCUACAAUUACAUUCACAUCAUCAACCAUAGGCACUUUGCUCAGUUUGUAAUAAAUCAAAGCAUCAUCAUGUGCAAGUGCAAGAGCAGACCACCACAUGUCCAAAGCUCAAAAAAGGGUUUAACCAUCACAGAUCUGAAUGUAAAACAUGUGAAAUCACAAGUUGACUGGUAGAUCUACACAAGCACCGCACAGAUCUAACCGGGUAACAUCAAGAACCCUAGCUCCAAACCGCAAACAAAAUCACCGCACAAAUCAAAGCUCAUACAGGGGGAGAGGGGAGGGGGAGGAGGAGGAGGGGGAGGGGGAGGUGACUUGUAUACCGACGUGAUCUAGGGAGGACCGCCAACGGUCCGCCGGAGAUCGACGACGACGAUGGCAGAGAGAGGCCGAGAAAGUGGAAGAGAAUUCACCGCGCCGGGAGAGGAGAGGAAGGAGAGACGCCAAAUGAGGGAGGUAACCCUAACGCCCACCCCCGCGCGUGCUGGGAUGCUCCAAUCUCCCGCGCUCGCGCCUCCCCUUCCCGCCAAGGAGCGCACUGUCCGGGAUGGCGAGGGAAGCUCGCCUCGAGAAGACGGCCUCAGCCGGGACGGAGGGGGAAAAGAGAAUGAGAAGAUACACCAAAACGAUACAAGUUGAGAAACCAAACACGAGCCAGGUGCACAGAGUCAUACCGGAUGGGCAUUAGGAUGCCACCGUCGGGGCAACCAAUCACCCCCUAAGACGUUAUGAGAAA
rnacentral:lncRNA from 1 species